rnacentral:misc_RNA from 1 species
AAAUAAAAGUGAAAUUUUUAUGGCACUUUUAAAACAAUCCAUAUCCACCUUGUGUGCAAUGUUUUUUGAGAAAAUGAAAAGUCUCUUUAAUGGGAUGAUUCUUUUUCUCUUUUAACUAUUAUAAACUCAUUUUUUAUAAGAAAUCUUGUCUGAUAAUAAUAUUAUUGAAUAACUUAAUUCAUAAAUA